rnacentral:piRNA from 1 species
CCGGACUGUCGGCCAGGAGAAGA